CAGUGUUGAUCAGCAUGGGAGUCGGUUUAUACAGCAGAAAUUGGAAAAUUGUAGUAUUGAAGAGAAGGCAUCUGUUUUCAAAGAAAUUCUUCCACAUGCUUCAAAACUAAUGACGGAUGUGUUUGGGAAUUAUGUCGUUCAAAAGGUGUCCACUCUGGUUCUCUAUGUACUUUUACAUCUCGUCUUGACAUUUUUAAGAUUUUCAAACCCUUGAGCCUUUGACCUUCCAGCAUGUUAAACUAUUGCAUAUCUGAAUUUUGUGUCCAGUUCUUUGAGCAUGGAAGUCAUGAGCAAAGAAAGAUGUUGGCAUGUCAAUUAAAAGGACAAAUUCUUCCUUUAAGUUUGCAAAUGUAUGGCUGUCGUGUUAUUCAAAAGGUAUAUUCUCAAUUCAAGUACACAAACGUUAUUAGAAUCAGAAGGUGGUCGUUAUUCGUUAUUGUUGCAUGACAUGCAGCAUGUCCAGGGGGAUUUCCCAAAACUAAUGACAGAUGUGUUUGGAAAUUAUGUCAUUCAAAAGGUGUCCACCCUGAUUUUCUCUGUACUUUUACGUCUCGUCUUAACAUUUUAAGAUUUUCAAACCCUUAAGCCUUUGACCUUC
rnacentral:lncRNA from 1 species